CAGCAGCCACGGGAAUACGGAGGGUGCAAGCGUUAAUCGGAAUUACUGGGCGUAAAGCGUGCGUAGGCGGUUCGUUAAGUCUGUUGUGAAAGCCCCGGGCUCAACCUGGGAAUGGCAAUGGAUACUGGCGAGCUAGAGUGUGUCAGAGGAUGGUGGAAUUCCCGGUGUAGCGGUGAAAUGCGUAGAGAUCAGGAGGAACAUCAGUGGCGAAGGCGACCAUCUGGGACAACACUGACGCUGAGGCACGAAAGCGUGGGGAGCAAACAGGAUUAGAUACCCCCGUAGUCCCUGUUUCUUAUAA
rnacentral:rRNA from 1 species